CGUGUAGGCGGUUGAGUAAGUCAGAUGUGAAAGCCCUGGGCUUAACUCAGGAAGUGCAUUUGAAACUGCUCAACUAGAGUAAGAGAGAGGAAAGUGGAAUUCCUGGUGUAGAGGUGAAAUUCGUAGAUAUCAGGAGGAACACCGGUGGCGAAGGCGGCUUUCUGGCUCUAUACUGACGCUGAGACGCGAAAGCGUGGGUAGCAAACAGGAUUAGAUACCCUGGUAGUCC
rnacentral:rRNA from 1 species